rnacentral:rRNA from 1 species
CACGGGGGUUGCGAGCGUUAAUCGGAAUUACUGGGCGUAAAGCGCACGCAGGCGGUCUGUCAAGUCGGAUGUGAAAUCCCCGGGCUCAACCUGGGAACUGCAUCCGAAACCGGCAGGCUAGAGUCUUGUAGAGGGGGGUAGAAUUCCAGGUGUAGCGGUGAAAUGCGUAGAGAUCUGGAGGAAUACCGGUGGCGAAGGCGGCCCCCUGGACAAAGACUGGCGCUCAGGUGCGAAAGCGUGGGGAGCAAACAGGAUUAGAUACCCUGGUAGUCCACGCCGUAAACGAUGUCGACUUGGAGGUUGUGCCCUUGAGGCGUGGCUUCCGGAGCUAACGCGUUAAGUCGACCGCCUGGGGAGUACGGCCGCAAGGUUAAA